GCGCCUGUAGCUCAGGGGAUAGAGCGACGGACUCCUAAUCCGUAGGCCGGAGGUUCGAAUCCUCCCAGGCGCACCA
rnacentral:tRNA from 1 species